GAGACUUUAAAUUUUGCAGUGUUAUGAACAAAUCUAUACUAUCACUCAUGUAUAAGAAGAAAAAGAUACUUAAAAUGUCCAUCCUAACUUAACUCCUGGGCUCUAUCAACCAACCUUAAUCCGAUUGUUUGACAAAUUCUUUCUUUUUCCUGAAAAAAACUUAUUUGAAAAAUUCAAUCGUUGAAAACGUGCAAAUACCCUAUAGUUUUUGGGCCUGUUUGGGAAGGAGGUGUUAAAGUUUAACACCACCCUUUAACACAUUUUUAACACCUUGGCUGCCAAACACAAGUGUUAAAGAUGAAGUGUUAAAAUUUAACACCUCUCUUUUCAUAAACAUAUGGAGGGGGUGUUAAAAUGUGCUAAAGGUGUUAAAAGUGGUCCCCCUCCACACUUAUUCC
rnacentral:lncRNA from 1 species